rnacentral:rRNA from 1 species
CCAUGCCGCGUGAAUGAUGAAGGUCUUAGGAUUGUAAAAUUCUUUCACCGGGGACGAUAAUGACGGUACCCGGAGAAGAAGCCCCGGCUAACUUCGUGCCAGCAGCCGCGGUAAUACGAAGGGGGCUAGCGUUGCUCGGAAUUACUGGGCGUAAAGGGCGCGUAGGCGGAUAGUUUAGUCAGAGGUAAAAGCCCAGGGCUCAACCUUGGAACUGCCUUUGAUACUGGCUAUCUUGAGUACGGGAGAGGUGUGUGGAACUCCGAGUGUAGAGGUGAAAUUCGUAGAUAUUCGGAAGAACACCAGUGGCGAAGGCGACACACUGGCCCGUUACUGACGCUGAGGCGCGAAAGCGUGGGGAGCAAACAGGAUUAGAUACCCUGGUAGUCCACGCCGUAACGAUGAGUGCUAGUUGUCGGCAUGCAUGCAUGUCGGUGACGCAGCUAACGCAUUAAGCACUCCG